GGCGAGCGGAGCCCGGGCGGCGUCGAGCGGGGCGAGGGGCGCGGGCUGGAGCCGCUGCCCGCCCGCCCCACAGCCGGGGAGCGCCGCGGGAAGGGGUAGCGCGAGCUCGCCCCGAGCGAGGAGCAGCGCCGCAGCCAUGGGGAACCGCGGGAUGGAGGAUCUCAUCCCGCUGGUCAACCGGCUGCAGGACGCGUUCGCCGCCAUCGGGCAGAACGCCAACCUCGACCUGCCGCAGAUCGCCGUGGUGGGGGGGCAGAGCGCGGGCAAGAGCUCCGUGCUGGAGAAUUUCGUCGGGAGGGACUUUCUGCCACGUGGAUCUGGCAUCGUAACCAGGCGCCCGCUGGUCCUGCAGCUUGUAAACGCCAGCACAGAAUAUGGUGAGUUCCUACACUGCAAAGGAAAGAAAUUCACUGAUUUUGAGGAGGUCCGUUUGGAGAUUGAGGCUGAAACGGAUCGUGUUACUGGCUCCAACAAAGGGAUUUCCCCUGUGCCCAUCAAUCUCAGAGUCUACUCUCCCCAUGUCCUGAACCUGACUCUGGUGGAUCUGCCGGGUAUGACAAAAGUCCCCGUGGGGGAUCAGCCCCCUGACAUCGAGUUCCAGAUCCGAGACAUGCUCAUGCAGUUUGUCACCAAAGAGAAUUGCCUCAUCCUGGCAGUGUCCCCAGCCAACUCUGAUUUGGCCAAUUCUGAUGCCCUGAAGAUCGCAAAGGAGGUGGAUCCUCAAGGCCAACGCACCAUUGGGGUCAUCACGAAGCUGGAUCUUAUGGACGAAGGAACUGAUGCAAGAGACGUAUUAGAAAACAAAUUGCUUCCACUCCGUAGAGGUUACAUUGGUGUAGUCAACAGAAGUCAGAAGGACAUAGAUGGCAAGAAGGACAUUCAGGCAGCUCUGGCUGCAGAGAGGAAGUUUUUUCUCUCCCACCCAGCCUACAGACACAUGGCUGACCGCAUGGGAACCCCCUACCUGCAGAAAGUACUGAACCAGCAAUUGACCAACCACAUCCGUGACACCCUGCCAGGGCUGCGGAACAAGCUCCAGAGCCAACUUCUUUCCAUUGAGAAGGAGGUGGAGGAGUACAAGAGCUUUCGCCCUGAUGACCCUGCUCGCAAGACCAAAGCUCUGCUCCAGAUGGUCCAGCAGUUUGCUGUGGACUUUGAGAAACGCAUUGAGGGCUCUGGAGACCAAAUUGAUACCUAUGAGCUGUCAGGAGGAGCGAGGAUUAACCGCAUCUUCCAUGAGCGCUUCCCCUUUGAGCUGGUGAAGAUGGAGUUUGAUGAGAAGGAGCUGCGGCGGGAGAUCAGCUACGCCAUCAAGAACAUCCAUGGUAUCAGAACCGGUCUCUUCACACCCGACAUGGCCUUUGAGACCAUUGUGAAAAAGCAGGUGAAGAAGAUUAAAGAGCCUUGCCUGAAAUGCGUGGACAUGGUCAUUUCGGAGUUAAUCAAUACUGUUAGACAGUGCACCAAGAAGCUCAGCCAAUACCCUCAUCUGCGUGAGGAGAUGGAGAGGAUUGUCACCACUCACAUCCGGGAGAGAGAAGGCAGGACCAAGGAUCAGGUCAUGCUUCUAAUAGACAUCGAGCUGGCUUACAUGAACACAAACCAUGAGGAUUUCAUUGGCUUUGCCAAUGCUCAGCAGAGGAGCAGCCAGAUGAGCAAGAAGAAGGCAGCUGGCAAUCAGGAUGAGAUCCUGGUGAUCAGAAAGGGCUGGCUCACCAUCAACAACAUUGGGAUCAUGAAGGGUGGCUCCAAGGAGUAUUGGUUUGUCCUGACAGCGGAGAACCUCUCCUGGUACAAGGAUGAUGAGGAGAAGGAGAAGAAGUACAUGUUACCAGUGGAUAACCUGAAACUGCGAGAUGUGGAGAAGGGGUUCAUGUCUAGCAAGCACAUCUUUGCUCUCUUCAACACUGAACAGAGGAAUGUUUACAAGGAUUACCGGCAGCUGGAGCUGGCCUGUGAGACCCAGGAGGAGGUGGAUAGCUGGAAAGCCUCCUUCCUUCGUGCAGGAGUGUACCCAGAGCGUGUUGGGGACAAGGACAAAGCCAGUGAGGCAGAGGAGAAUGGAGGAGACAGUUUCAUGCACUCCAUGGACCCUCAGCUGGAGAGACAAGUGGAAACGAUCAGGAACCUGGUGGAUUCCUACAUGGCAAUUGUCAACAAAACCAUCAGAGACCUCAUGCCGAAGACAAUCAUGCACCUCAUGAUAAACAAUACUAAGGACUUCAUCCACUCAGAGCUGCUGGCGAACCUGUACUCGUGUGGCGACCAAAACACGCUGAUGGAGGAGUCGGCGGAGCAGGCCCAGCGACGCGACGAGAUGCUGCGCAUGUACCACGCCCUGAAGGAGGCCCUCAACAUCAUCGGGGACAUCAACACCAGCACCAUCAGCACCCCCAUGCCCCCACCGGUGGACGACUCCUGGCUGCAGGUGCAGAGCGUACCGUCCGGACGCAGGUCUCCCACGUCCAGCCCCACUCCUCAGAGGAGAGCUCCGGCAGUGCCGCCCGCCAGACCUGGGUCUCGCGGACCAGCUCCUGGGCCACCUCCUGCUGGUGGGUCCACGCUGGGUGGUGCCCCCCCUGUGCCCUCCAGGCCAGGUGCCUCUCCUGAUCCCUUCGGGCCCCCACCUCAGGUUCCUUCUCGGCCUAACCGUGCUCCUCCUGGUGUUCCCAGGGCUCCCAAAGUCUGAAGUUGCCCCUUUUCUCCUGGCCCAGAGUUCUUCAAGUUGUUCAUAGACUCCUCCGGAUCCUGAUACCAGCUUGUCAUUUGAGUUCACUGAUGAACGGAGAAUUUCCAAUGACAAGGGACUCUUUCUCUUCCUCUCCUGUAUAUAGAAUAAGAAUGUUCCCUGCUAGCACUUGGACUCGGGUCCUUCUGCCAUGGAAUCACUAUCAGUGACCCCUGAGGACUGGCAGCCACGAAGGGGCCCCGCCUCACCUACUCGACCCACCAUAAUCCGACCGGCUGAACCGUCCCUCUUAGAUUUAUAACUUGAGGCUGUAGACAGCUGGCGACGAGCGCCGUGCCGGCGGCUUCCCCAUCCCACCCUCCCUUCCUCAGCCACAGUCACUCCUCUCAUCCAUCCCACAUCUCUGCCUCCCGCCACCCCCUUCCCAGUGUGUUGUAAAAAACACUAGUGAUCGAGCUCUUCGUCUUCGCUCGUGCGUCCUGUAUUGCUUUGUGAGCGUAGAGUAGCCUUCAUUCAGUGGCAUGGAUCCCUGAAGUACACAGGCUCCUUGGAGAGAGCAGCCACAGGGGCACCCUUAAGUCCAAGUGGUGGCUGUCCGUCCAGUAAUUCCAUCUGCCUGGUCUAGCCUGGAUAAGUGUCCUGCCUGCACCACUUAGUUGUAGCACCCGGGACUGAUCUGUAGCUAUUUUCUUUUCUUGUAGUUAAGACAAAGGCGUGACUUAGGGAAAAAAAUAAAAACACAUGCUGUCGAAACACGUGACACCGCUAGGAACAGAUUAGAUGUCCUGUGUAUUAGUUUGACUUCUAAGGUGCAAAAUUUCAUGUUGGGAACAGUGCAAUCAACUUUUUAUCAAAGUGAGGCAGGGAGGGGGGGAAUGAACGGAUCUAGUCCUGCUCGAGUGAAGUCUGAGAUAGCGCACACACCUCAGCGUGCAGGAGCACACAGACCUGCUCGGCUCCCCAGGGCUGGGGAAUUCCUGCUGGGGACACACUGGCUCCUGCCAGCAGUUGUCUUGCAUCAUCAUUUUUGGCUGACUUUCCUGACACCCCAGCAGGGCGAGGGGAAUAGACACGCUGCUCCCCCCUUGCACAUGGACAGCCAAAUGUUUCAGGGAGUUCGCUGUGUGAUGUUUUGUUGAAAAUAUUUCUGCUUUGAAUAAGCACAUCUUUCAGUGUUUUUGGGGUACUGUGGUGACUUUCUUCCGUAGCCUUUUUCUUGCAUGUGGAUGGUACGUGUUUGGGGAAACUUGUAACCGUUGUUGAUCACAACUCAUCUUAAGGUUUGGUUUUUACUCUUCAUGCUACAUGUAUUAAAAAAAAAAAAAAUACUUGAGAAUUAAAAAAAUAUAUCAACCCUGUACAUCUCAGAUGUCAUGUCUCUACCAGAGCUGAAUGAGCCACCUGUGUUCCAGGCUUUCCUCCAGGCCUGAUUCACGUUGAAGUUCUCUCGUUUCAGUGCUAUUGCUCUUAAUUUCUGUUGUGGAUCCUCUAUUGUUCUGACACCAGUUCCUUUCUGUAUUUUAACUAUUGUUUUACUACUUCUCCUCCUUUUCCUUCCCUUUCCCUUCUUCUUUGUUUUUCUUGUCUUUAACGUCCAGCCGGCCGGGUAAGGCCAGUCCCGCCCGCCCGGAGAGCCCAAAACCACCAUUUGACAUGUAGUCCUGCUCCCUCUGAGACUCUUUGCCUGCUCUUAGCUGUUCUGUCCUGGAAUGGUCUGACUCCAAUCUCACACAUGGCUUGUUUUCUUUGUAAUUUGUGACACACACAUAUCAGAUGUGAUUGUAGUGAAACUGUUUUUUGGGGGGGUUUUGUUUGGUUUUUUUUUUCUUUUUUCUUCCCAGCUGCUUAAAGGAGUUAAACAAGUAUAUUGUAGUAAUGAGAAACAUAUCUUUACUGUUAUAAAUAUCUAUAAAUAUAUAUAUAAGAUGAAAAAUCUAUAUAUGUCCAGGUGUUUAAAGCCAUUUGUGCUUCUAUGUGAAUUUUAGGAAAUACUCCAGUAGGAAAAGAAUAUCUAUAUACAUAUAUAUAUACACAAACACAUCCAAAAAGUUAACCAAAUCCCAAUGUUGAGUUUUUGAGCUGAUUGUUAAAUUCUCUGCUGUGUGCAGUUGGGUUAUUGUAUUACCCCAGACUUGUGGGUGAACUGUCUCAGUGCUGGUAGUAGCUGUGAUGCAGUUUGUGAUCUACCUGUCACUCUCGUUUAUUGGAUGAAAUAAACUCUCAUUUCUGUAUAAUGAAGGUCUCCACGACUAGAAUAAAACCAUCUCUCUUUCUCUG